UAGCAUCUGUGUCUUCAGGCCAAAUGAUGUAUGAUCCAGUUUGAUUUAAUUUACUUAUCAUUCACAUUGGAGGGAAUUCAGAAUACGAAGACAGAUAGAACAGGCCCUGAGUAAAGAAAGGAAGAUGCAGAGUGCCCUGCGAAGAACUUGUCACCAGCCAGCGAAGGUUGUGUCUCAAGCUUCAGUGCAAGUGUGGCCAGUAUGAGUCCCAAAAAGUCAAGAUGACUCCUGACAGCGGUAAUCAGGUUUAUGUAGAAAAGGAAGGACAACAUCCCAGGAAUGUGACCUUCUGAGAAGGACUUUGUCCUAUAAUUCAUCCGUCUGGGGAACAUGCAUGAAAUAAGACUUGGAGACAAAGAAAGGCUGAAUGCAAUAGUAAGCCGGUAUAAAAAUUAUGUUCUGGGAAGCAAGGCUACGAGUUACAGAGGACCACUUUAUUUAUUUCUGUGUAUUUAUUUUCAAUUGGUGUGAUAUUUAGAGUAGUCAAUCCUUUUGACCCCUCUUAACUACUUAUUGAUCAGAAUACUGCUAAUUCCGCAUGAUGCACAUACUUUUUAAAAAAGACUUCUUCAAUUAAAGUGAUGAAUGUAAUUCAUUUAUUCUUCAAAUUUACUCUGAUAUUAAUUAAUGAAAAAAUGCA